UGCUGUGAGUCACAGUGCGCAGCAUAAAAGUCCUGUCACAUCGGACGCAGCAUGUGCUGCUAAUGCUAACUGCUAACUAAGCACGUAAACCUGUGACACAAAAAUCACAAAACUCGGACCACCACAGACUGUUUUCCUUCCUGGUGAUGAAGGAAAACGCUGGGCUGGCAUGAAAAGGGGCAUUUAUUCCCUUCAAGGACCUGAAGCUUCAUAAAGCACCCCUACAAUAGCCAAACCCAUCUGUUCUCUGAUUGGAUUGUUAAAUUUGUGAUUGACAUGACAUUGGCCAAUCAGAUGAAAGGAAGAAAAAUAGGGUCGUACUUGUAACUUGUAACUUGAGUGCAGAGUUUCACACGUAUUUCUUGGCUAAGUCCACAAACAAAUUCUUUUUACACAUACAAAUCCUGAUUUACAAGUACAAAAUAUUUAUGACCACAAUUUGAGCCCAUACAUCCACAGACUGCUGGAGGCAGGAGAAGCUGCCUACAGUCACCAGUCAGUGGAUCCACAGUAACAUCGACUCUGAGUUCAGCUGCUGAUCAUCAACUAACUGUUUCUGUCUCGUUCCCAGACUCUGAUCUCACAUAAAACGAAGCAGAUUUAUGCUGAAACUAAGCUGCACACAGCUGAUGUUAGCCAGGAAAACAGUACAGACUGCUAACGUUACCUUAACAUGGAGACGAUCGACUGCGCCACAACAUUCAAGAAAGCGAAAGUAAAAGUGACGUAAGGAAACGAUCAGAGAGGCGUUUGAGGGACGUUCAGAGUCAGGAACCUCAGAAACGGAUCAGGCUGGAGUUUAAUUCUGUUUUCAUCUUUAGAAACAUCUGGAAAUAGUUAUAAAAAUGCUGCGUAAUAAAGAAAAAUAGUGUAGAUUAGUUUGAGUUGUGUUUAGCUGAGCUGUGUCUUUAAUCAAAUCUAAACUGAAGAGUUCAUUUUGUGGAGGAGCAGCAAGACUUUCAGUGUGACUCUCAGGAGAAAGCCUCCCAAAUGUCUGUUGUCUUAAUAGUGGAAUUAUCUGGAAAAUGAACCAGUUCUUAUAAGCUGCUUUUCAAUAUGAGCAGUCAAAGCAUUUUAUACAGCGUGCUUCAUUCACACAAGCACUUCUUUUUCUAACAAUGACACUAUGAUGGAUGCAUUGGAGAGGAAGUCGGGGUUCCAUAUCUUGACCAAGGAUACCGUGGCGUGCAGACUGGAGCAGCCAGGGAUCAAACCUCCAACCUUCCAUGGCAACCAGGACCAUAAUGAACCCUGACUCCACAAGACACUCAGGAUCCACCUGCCCAGUAAGUCACCCACUAACUGUAACUAUCAGAGCCCUGACCUUCUGCAGAGACGAGUCACACUGAACACAGCAAGUGUCCCUGCUCUCAGAUACAAAAUCUGCCUUUAAAAGUUAAGAGUAAUGAAAUCAGCAGUACUGAUUCUAUAAUUUGUAGUCUCACACACUUGUGCAGAGCACUUUUGUUGUUUUGGUUCACAUCGGUUGAUAUUCUGCUGUAAACAACUAAUGAGAACAUUUUAUGAAAGCUUUGAGUGUCCAUCAGGAUCCUGUAGAAACAGCUUCCAUGUCAAAGAUCAAUAUUCUGAAUUCUGUUUUGAAAGAAAAAGAUUUCUAGAAAAUUCUCUAAAGAAUUCAACAUCUGUUUUGUUUUCUACUAUUUUUUAAAAAACUCACUCUAGCACAGAUUUCUUUAGCCAAACGUCUUUCUGUGUCUUCCAUACAAACUUUAAACAUGCAAACACUCAACACAGCAACACUGAAAGCAUUUGAGAGUAACUUUCAUUCAAAUGAAACUUUAUACACAAUUACAAUAAUGGAAAAAAUGACUAAAUAUUAAAACACUACAACCACUGAAGAAACAAAUAAAACCAAUCACAAUCAACAUCAAAAUAUGAUCAUAGAAAAAUAGAAGAGACAUAUCAUACAAUUCAUAUACGUUGAUGUGAUCUCUACGUUCAAAAAACCCAAUAACCUUCAAUCCUUCAUUUAAAUUACAUUUAAAUUUCAGCUGGCAGCUGUUGGAGUCAAAUUGUUAAAUGUUGUCAUUGUGUUACUUAAAUUUGUAAGUCUUAGUUCAAGCAGCUGAUCAAAGACAUUCCUUUGUCUCUGACCACCUCUGCAACCAGCCUGUUGGUGGGGAGGCUGUAGUGUUUUAUUAUAGGGACAUCCUAUCUGAAGGUUCUGUUUUCUUGGUUAAUAAGCUUCCUGCUUUUAUGACCCUUUUGGUGAGCAGGAGGUCACACAAACGCACCCCCAAACACAAAUACACACACACACAUUCAAGCACAUGCAUACACACACACAUACACACACAGUGCCUUAUCUUUUGUAACCAUAGGGGGGUUUUACAAUGGGAGGUGCUUGUGUGUACUGUAACUGUUUUCAAUAAAAGGCAGCAAGGAAGGCUGUUUAUUUGAUGCUGGCUAGCAGACAGGUGAGGAGCGUUCAGCUCCAAGAGCCUGGUUCCAACCAGCCUCCCUUGCUACAAGUAAAAACCGGUUAAAGAUGUUGUCUUGUUUCCUUGCUUGUCGUUAAUGAGAAUAAGUUUCUAAACCAGCAGGCCUGUGGAAGCACAGACCCAACAUUUAUUUGGUCCUUCCGAGCCGGAGCCCAACGCAUCGCGUCCACCGAGGAGAGGGAGAGGAGACACUGAAGUCUGCUAGCAGCCAGGAGGUCUGGGACGCCUGAUGAAAGCCCUGGUGCUUAAUUUUGUCGCCAGGCCGGUGAGUUAGCGUCUGAACUCCCCUCGGGUUGGAUGGCAAUUGACAGGAUCCAGAGACUCUU